CCAGAGAUGGAUUGGUGCCUUCGGGAACUCUGACACAGGUGCUGCAUGGCUGUCGUCAGCUCGUGUCGUGAGAUGUUCGGGUUAAGUCCCGUAACGAGCGCAACCCUUGUCCUUAGUUACCAGCACGUUAUGGUGGGCACUCUAAGGAGACUGCCGGUGACAAACCGGAGGAAGGUGGGAUGACGUCAAGUCAUCAUGGCCCUUACGGCCUGGGCUACACACGUGCUACAAUGGUCGGUACAAAGGGUUGCCAAGCCGCGAGGUGGAGCUAAUCCCAUAAAACCGAUCGUAGUCCGGAUCGCAGUCUGCAACUCGACUGCGUGAAGUCGGAAUCGCUAGUAAUCGUGAAUCAGAAUGUCACGGUGAAUACGUUCCCGGGCCUU
rnacentral:rRNA from 1 species